AACGAACGCUGGCGGCAGGCCUAACACAUGCAAGUCGAGCGAGGUAGCAAUACCUAGCGGCGGACGGGUGAGUAACGCGUGGGAACGUACCCUUUGCUACGGAAUAGCCCCGGGAAACUGGGAGUAAUACCGUAUGUGCCCUUCGGGGGAAAGAUUUAUCGGCAAAGGAUCGGCCCGCGUUGGAUUAGGUAGUUGGUGGGGUAAUGGCCUACCAAGCCGACGAUGUCUAGCUGGUCUGAGAGGAUGAUCAGCCACACUGGGACUGAGACACGGCCCAGACUCCUACGGGAGGCAGCAGUAGGGAAUAUUGGACAAUGGGGGGAACCCUGAUCCAGCCAUGCCGCGUGAGGGAAGAAGGUCCUCUGGAUUGUAAACCUCUUUUGGCAGGAAACAAACCUGCGCUAUACGCGCAGCUGAGGGUACCUGCAGAAUAAGCACCGGCUAACUCCGUGCCAGCAGCCGCGGUAAAG
rnacentral:rRNA from 1 species